AUUGAACGCUGGCGGCAGGCCUAACACAUGCAAGUCGAGCGGAUGAAGGGAGCUUGCUCCUGGAUUCAGCGGCGGACGGGUGAGUAAUGCCUAGGAAUCUGCCUGGUAGUGGGGGAUAACGUCCGGAAACGGGCGCUAAUACCGCAUACGUCCUGAGGGAGAAAGUGGGGGUCUUUGGGACCCCCGCCAAUAGGAGAGGCUAGGUCGGAUUAGCUAGGUGGUGGGGUAAAGGCCUACCAAGGCGACGAUCCGUAACUGGUCUGAGAGGAUGAUCAGUCACACUGGAACUGAGACACGGUCCAGACUCCUACGGGAGGCAGCAGUGGGGAAUAUUGGACAAUGGGCGAAAGCCUGAUCCAGCCAUGCCGCGUGUGUGAAGAAGGUCUUCGGAUUGUAAAGCACUUUAAGUUGGGAGGAAGGGCAGUAAGUUAAUACCUUGCUGUUUUGACGUUACCAACAGAAUAAGCACCGGCUAACUUCGUG
rnacentral:rRNA from 1 species